rnacentral:rRNA from 1 species
CCCUACGGGGCGCAGCAGUGAGGAAUAUUGGUCAAUGGUCGGGAGACUGAACCAGCCAAGCCGCGUGAGGGAUGAAGGUACAGAGUAUCGUAAACCUCUUUUGUCAGGGAACAAAGGCGGGGACGCGUCCCCGGAUGAGUGUACCUGAAGAAAAAGCAUCGGCUAACUCCGUGCCAGCAGCCGCGGUAAUACGUAGGGAGCAAGCGUUAUCCGGAUUUAUUGGGCGUAAAGGGCUCGUAGGCGGUUCGUCGCGUCCGGGGUGAAAGUCCAUCGCUUAACGGUGGAUCCGCGCCG